rnacentral:rRNA from 1 species
UACUGGACGUCGAGCGGCGGACGGGUGAGUAACGGCUGGGAACCUGCCCUGACGAGGGGGAUAACCGUUGGAAACGACGGCUAAUACCGCAUAAUGUCUUGAUUCGUUAGAGUCAGGACCAAAGGUGGCCUCUACAUGUAAGCUAUCGCGUUGGGAUGGGCCCAGUUAGGAUUAGCUAGUUGGUAAGGUAAUGGCUUACCAAGGCAACGAUCCUUAGCUGGUUUGAGAGGAUGAUCAGCCACACUGGGACUGAGACACGGCCCAGACUCCUACGGGAGGCAGCAGUGGGGAAUAUUGCACAAUGGGGGAGACCCUGAUGCAGCCAUGCCGCGUGUGUGAAGAAGGCCUUCGGGUUGUAAAGCACUUUCAGCAGUGAGGAAGGUCGUGUACUUAAUACGUGCACGGCUUGACGUUAGCUGCAGAAGAAGCACCGGCUAACUCCGUGCCAGCAGCCGCGGUAAUACGGAGGGUGCGAGCGUUAAUCGGAAUUACUGGGCGUAAAGCGCAUGCAGGCGGUUUGUUAAGUCAGAUGUGAAAGCCCGGGGCUCAACCUCGGAACCGCAUUUGAAACUGGCAGGCUAGAGUCUUGUAGAGGGGGGUAGAAUUUCAGGUGUAGCGGUGAAAUGCGUAGAGAUCUGAAGGAAUACCAGUGGCGAAGGCGGCCCCCUGGACAAAGACUGACGCUCAGAUGCGAAAGCGUGGGUAGCAAACAGGAUUAGAUACCCUGGUAGUCCACGCCGUAAACGCUGUCUACUUGGAGGUUGAGGUUUUAGACUUUGGCUUUCGGCGCUAACGCAUUAAGUAGACCGCCUGGGGAGUACGGCCGCAAGGUUAAAACUCAAAUGAAUUGACGGGGGCCCGCACAAGCGGUGGAGCAUGUGGUUUAAUUCGAUGCAACGCGAAGAACCUUACCUACUCUUGACAUCCAGCGAAGCCUUUAGAGAUAGAGGCGUGCCUUCGGGAGCGCUGAGACAGGUGCUGCAUGGCUGUCGUCAGCUCGUGUUGUGAAAUGUUGGGUUAAGUCCCGCAACGAGCGCAACCCUUAUCCUUGUUUGCCAGCACAUAAUGGUGGGAACUCCAGGGAGACUGCCGGUGAUAAACCGGAGGAAGGUGGGGACGACGUCAAGUCAUCAUGGCCCUUACGAGUAGGGCUACACACGUGCUACAAUGGCAGAUACAGAGGGCAGCGAGACAGCGAUGUUUAGCGAAUCCCUUAAAGUUUGUCGUAGUCCGGAUUGGAGUCUGCAACUCGACUCCAUGAAGUCGGAAUCGCUAGUAAUCGUGGAUCAGAAUGCCACGGUGAAUACGUUCCCGGGCCUUGUACACACCGCCCGUCACACCAUGGGAG